rnacentral:snRNA from 1 species
AGCUUUGCGCAGUGGCAGUACUAUAGACAAUGAGGUUUAUCUAAGAUGCGAUUAUUGCUAAUUGAAAACUUUUCCCAAUACCCUGCCAUGAUGACUUGAAAUAUAGUCAGCAUUAAAUCUCUCUCUCUCUUUUUAUUAAAAAAAAAGA